CAAACAGUCUCCCACAUCCUCCUUCCCAGACUUCCCCAUCUCCACGCCUCUCUGACCACUUUUGCAGCAGAACCACUAUUUUCUAGGUUAGCAGUUCUCAACUGUGGGUGAGUUUGCCCCUUGGAGACAUUUGUUGAUGUCUGGAGACAUUUUUUUUUUUUGUCAUCACAACUAGGUGCAUGCUGUUGACAUCCAGUGGCCCUGCUGGAAUUCAUUAACCUAGUUUCAGGCUCUGUAUGUUGGGACUGAUGAAGCAAUCCUGAAGAUGGUUCCUCUGGCAUCUCAGCUUCACAAAUUAUGCACACUCAUUUGAGAUACUGAUUCCUGAGGCCUGCCCAGGCUCCCCGGUGCCACGGUGUGUCUUCCUGUGGAGGAAAUGAGGCUGACACAACAGGCAGAAGGCUCCAACACAAAGGGUUGAUGAUUUAUUUGCAUUUCUGCAAAAAUAAAAGUGAAGUGCAGUUAAUAACAGAUCUGUCUGAUGACAUUGUAAGUGGGAAAAGAA